rnacentral:rRNA from 1 species
CGAGUCUGAAAGAGGUCACUGGAAAUUCCUACUGGAGGGGUAAAUCCGUAGAUAGUAGGAGGAACACCAAAAGCGAAGGCAGGUGGCUGGUUCAGUACUGACGCUCAGGGACGAAAGCGUGGGGAGCAAACAGGAUUAGAUACCCUGGUAGUCCACGCCGUAAACGAUGAGUGCUAGGCGUUGAAGAGUUGUUUCGACCCUCUUCAGUGUCCAAAGUUAACACGUUAAGCACUCCGCCUGGGGAGUACGGCCGCAAGGCUAAAACUCAAAGGAAUAGACGGGGGCCCGCACAAGCGGUGGAGCAUGGGGUUUAAUUCGAUAAUAAGCGAGGAACCUCACCUAGGCUUGACAUCUCGAGAAAGCUCUGGAAACAGAGCCGUGCCUUUUGGAACUCGAUGACAGGCGCUGCAUGGUUGUCGUCAGCUCGUGCCCUGAGGUGUUCGGUUAAGUCCGUAAACGAGCGCAACCCUCGUCGUGUGUUGUAUUUUUCACGCGAGACUGCCGGCCCUAAGCCGGAGGAAGGCGAGGAUGACGUCAAAUCAGCAUGGCCCUUAUGCCUAGGGCGACACCCGUGCUACAAUGGGGAGUACAAAGGGUAGCGAAAGCGCAAGCUGGAGCCAAUCCUAAAAACUUCCCCCAGUUCGGAUUGAGGGCUGCAAUUCGCCCUCAUGAAGUUGGAAUCGCUAGUAACCGUGGAUCAGCCAUGUCACGGUGUAUAUGUUCCCGGGCCUUGUACUCACCGCCCGUCACGUCAUGGAAGAUGGGAGCACCC